AGAAUACGAACGAUAUUUUUCUCGCGGAAAUAAAAAAUGCCAAAAGUAUGUACUGAUCCGAAAUGUCCAUUGAAUAAACACACGAAUAACGAAAAAUCACGAAAAGAUUCAUGCAAAAUUCAUGGAAAACCAUGCAUACAAUUUUCCUCUGAUCAUGCACGAGAAAAUCGUAACGAACAUAAACGAACGAAGUAUUGUACGAAACUAUGU
rnacentral:lncRNA from 1 species